rnacentral:rRNA from 1 species
GAUGAACGCUGGCGGCGUGCCUAAUACAUGCAAGUCGAGCGAACAGACGAGGAGCUUGCUCCUCUGACGUUAGCGGCGGACGGGUGAGUAACACGUGGAUAACCUACCUAUAAGACUGGGAUAACUUCGGGAAACCGGAGCUAAUACCGGAUAAUAUAUUGAACCGCAUGGUUCAAUAGUGAAAGACGGUUUUGCUGUCACUUAUAGAUUGAUCCGCGCCGCAUUAGCUAGUUGGUAAGGUAACGGCUUACCAAGGCAACGAUGCGUAGCCGACCUGAGAGGGUGAACGGCAACACGGGAACUGAGACACGGUCCAGACUCCGACGGGAGGCAGCAGUAGGGAAUAUUCCGAAAUGGGCGAAAGCAUGACGGAGCAACGCCGCGUGAGUGAUGAAGGUCUUAGGAUCGUAAAACUCUGUUAUUAGGGAAGAAAAAAUGUGUAAGUAACUAUGCACGUAUUGACGGUACCUAAUCAGAAAGCCACGGCUAACUACGUG